rnacentral:misc_RNA from 1 species
AAGUCGUAACAAGGUUUCCGUAGGUGAACCUGCGGAAGGAUCAUUAAAAGAUAACCUUAUGGGUUUUCUAAUCCAUAUCCCACCUCUUGUGCAAUGUCUACUGUUGGUUCCCUUUUGGUGUAGAGAUGGCUAUGCGUUAAAUAAGUGUAUUUGAUGCAUUUGCCGUUUUUCUCUACAAUUGAAGCCGGAAGGGGACUUUUACCUAUACUUUUAAUUUAUGUGUAGUCUCAUUGAUUUGUGCUGAAAAGCAAAAAAUCUAAAUAAACAACUUUCAACAACGGAUCUCUUGGCUCCCA